rnacentral:pre_miRNA from 1 species
AUCACCUGGGAAUCUUGUUAAAGUGCAGAUUCUGAUUCAGUUGGUCUGGGGUGGGGCCUGAGAUUGGGCAUUUCUAAUGAGUUCCCAGGUGAGGCUGA